GCCCUUGUAGCUCAACGGAGAGAGCGCCUCAUUCCGGAUGAGGAGGUCGCAGGUUCGAGUCCUGCCAAGGGCG
rnacentral:tRNA from 1 species